AACGAACGCUGGCGGCGUGCCUAACACAUGCAAGUCGAACGAGAACGGAAUAUAGCUUGCUAUAUUUGUCAGCUAAGUGGCGCACGGGUGAGUAAUGUAUAGAUAACCUGCCCUUAAGGAAGGAAUAACAGUUGGAAACGACUGCUAAUGCCCUAUAUGCCUUUAAUACAUAAGUAUGCAGGGGAAACGCUUUAGUGCUUAAGGAUGGGUCUGUAUGGUAUCAGCUUGUUGGUGAGGUAAUGGCUCACCAAGGCUAUGACGCCUAACUGGUUUGAGAGGAUGAUCAGUCACACUGGAACUGAGACACGGUCCAGACUCCUACGGGAGGCAGCAGUGGGGAAUAUUGCACAAUGGACGAAAGUCUGAUGCAGCAACGCCGCGUGGAGGAUGACACAUUUCGGUGCGUAAACUCCUUUUAUAUAGGAAGAUAAUGACGGUACUAUAUGAAUAAGCACCGGCUAACUCCGUGCCAGCCGCCGCAGUAAAAC
rnacentral:rRNA from 1 species